rnacentral:rRNA from 1 species
GGGUGAGUAAUACAUCGGAACGUGCCCAGUAGCGGGGGAUAGCCCGGCGAAAGCCGGAUUAAUACCGCAUACGACCUACGGGUGAAAGGGGGGGAUCGCAAGACCUCUCGCUAUUGGAGCGGCCGAUGUCAGAUUAGGUUGUUGGUGGGGUAAAAGCCUACCAAGCCGACGAUCUGUAGCUGGUCUGAGAGGACGACCAGCCACACUGGGACUGAGACACGGCCCAGACUCCUACGGAGGCAGCAGUGGGGAAUUUUGGACAAUGGGCGCAAGCCUGAUCCAGCCAUGCCGCGUGCGGGAAGAAGGCCUUCGGGUUGUAAACCGCUUUUGUCAGGGAAGAAACGGCUUGAAUUAAUACUUUGAGCUAAUGACGGUACCUGAAGAAUAAGCACCGGCUAACUACGUGCCAGCAGCCGCGGUAAUACGUAGGGUGCAAGCGUUAAUCGGAAUUACUGGGCGUAAAGCGUGCGCAGGCGGUUGUACAAGACAGAUGUGAAAUCCCCGGGCUUAACCUGGGAACUGCAUUUGUGACUGUACGGCUAGAGUGCGGCAGAGGGGGAUGGAAUUCCGCGUGUAGCAGUGAAAUGCGUAGAUAUGCGGAGGAACACCGAUGGCGAAGGCAAUCCCCUGGGCCUGCACUGACGCUCAUGCACGAAAGCGUGGGGAGCAAACAGGAUUAGAUACCCUGGUAGUCCACGCCCUAAACUAUGUCAACUGGUUGUUGGGAAGGUUCCUUCUCAGUAACGAAGCUAACGCGUGAAGUUGACCGCCUGGGGAGUACGGCCGCAAGGUUGAAGCUCAAAGGAAUUGACGGGGACCCGCACAAGCGGUGGAUGAUGUGGUUUAAUUCGAUGCAACGCGAAAAACCUUACCUACCCUUGACACGUCAAGAAUCUUGCAGAGAUGUGAGAGUGCUCGAAAGAGAACUUGAACACAGGUGCUGCAUGGCCGUCGUCAGCUCGUGUCGUGAGAUGUUGGGUUAAGUCCCGCAACGAGCGCAACCCUUGUCAUUAGUUGCUACGAAAGGGCACUCUAAUGAGACUGCCGGUGACAAACCGGAGGAAGGUGGGGAUGACGUCAGGUCCUCAUGGCCCUUAUGGGUAGGGCUACACACGUCAUACAAUGGCCGGUACAGAGGGUUGCCAACCCGCGAGGGGGAGCCAAUCCCGGAAAACCGGUCGUAGUCCGGAUCGCAGUCUGCAACUCGACUGCGUGAAGUCGGAAUCGCUAGUAAUCGCGGAUCAGCUUGCCGCGGUGAAUACGUUCCCGGGUCUUGUACACACCGCCC